CCUGAUCCAGCCAUGCCGCGUGUGUGAAGAAGGCCUUUUGGUUGUAAAGCACUUUAAGCAGUGAAGAAGACUCUUCGAUUAAUACCCGGAGACGAUGACAUUAGCUGCAGAAUAAGCACCGGCUAACUCUGUGCCAGCAGCCGCGGUAAUACAGAGGGUGCAAGCGUUAAUCGGAAUUACUGGGCGUAAAGCGAGCGUAGGUGGCUUGAUAAGUCAGAUGUGAAAUCCCCGGGCUUAACCUGGGAACUGCAUCUGAUACUGUCAGGCUAGAGUAGGUGAGAGGAAGGUAGAAUUCCAGGUGUAGCGGUGAAAUGCGUAGAGAUCUGGAGGAAUACCGAUGGCGAAGGCAGCCUUCUGGCAUCAUACUGACACUGAGGCUCGAAAGCGUGGGUAGCAAACAGGAUUAGAUACCCUGGUAGUCCACGCCGUAAACGAUGUCUACUAGUCGUUGGGUCCCUUGAGGACUUAGUGACGCAGCUAACGCAAUAAGUAGACCGCCUGGGGAGUACGGCCGCAAGGUUAAAACUCAAAUGAAUUGACGGGGGCCCGCACAAGCGGUGGAGCAUGUGGUUUAAUUCGAUGCAACGCGAAGAACCUUACCUGGUCUUGACAUAUCUAGAAUCCUGCAGAGAUGCGGGAGUGCCUUCGGGAAUUAGAAUACAGGUGCUGCAUGGCUGUCGUCAGCUCGUGUCGUGAGAUGUUGGGUUAAGUCCCGCAACGAGCGCAACCCUUGUCCUUAGUUACCAGCGGGUUAAGCCGGGAACUCUAAGGAUACUGCCAGUGACAAACUGGAGGAAGGCGGGGACGACGUCAAGUCAUCAUGGCCCUUACGACCAGGGCUACACACGUGCUAC
rnacentral:rRNA from 1 species